rnacentral:lncRNA from 11 species
AGAAGAAUUUUAAUAUGUUGAAACUAAGAACGCAUUGGUUAGAAUCAAUAAUUUAUAAUCUACAAUAUUUUUUAUUUAUGGUCGCCAUCAUGUAUUUGUGAGAAAAAGUGACGCGAACGAAAUGAAUAGAGCUGAAAGUAUAUCCGGUGAAAAACGAUAAGAAUUCAUUAAAUUGCUGCAAAUUUUUGAUUUAUCAGACGGUAAUUAUUUGAGGCAAGUUAAUACUUUCAGAAGGCAUUUCAUUUAUAUAUCACACAAUUUAUUUUCAGCCAAUAUGUGCCGAAGAAAUGGAAAUUAUACUUUUAGCGGCGGGAGGAAAACUAUCGCACAAGAAAAGCAAAAGAAUGUGCCGUCCGGGUUAUUCAGCAACGACAACGGCUGGUGAAAUUUGAUGUGAGCUGCUCACAACCUAUGGAACCAUCCAGAGAUGAACUUUGUUCUAGAACAUCACAAUCAUUCAUUCUGAUUAGAUAAACAUGAUUAUAUAAUAAACGAGCAAGCAUCAAUAAAAA